UAGGGAAUCUUCGGCAAUGGGGGGAACCCUGACCGAGCAACGCCGCGUGAGUGAAGAAGGUUUUCGGAUCGUAAAGCUCUGUUGUUAAGGAAGAACGAGUGUGAGAAUGGAAAGUUCAUGCUGUGACGGUACUUAACCAGAAAGGGACGGCUAACUACGUGCCAGCACCCGCGGUAAUACGUAGGUCCCGAGCGUUGUCCGGAUUUAUUGGGCGUAAAGCGAGCGCAGGCGGUUAGAAAAGUCUGAAGUGAAAGGCAGUGGCUCAACCAUUGUAGGCUUUGGAAACUGUUUAACUUGAGUGCAGAAGGGGAGAGUGGAAUUCCAUGUGUAGCGGUGAAAUGCGUAGAUAUAUGGAGGAACACCGGUGGCGAAAGCGGCUCUCUGGUCUGUAACUGACGCUGAGGCUCGAAAGCGUGGGGAGCGAACAGG
rnacentral:rRNA from 1 species